AGUGAACGCUGGCGGUAGGCCUAACACAUGCAAGUCGAACGGCAGCACAGUAAGAGCUUGCUCUUACGGGUGGCGAGUGGCGGACGGGUGAGGAAUACAUCGGAAUCUACUUUUUCGUGGGGGAUAACGUAGGGAAACUUACGCUAAUACCGCAUACGACCUACGGGUGAAAGCAGGGGAUCUUCUGACCUUGCGCGUUUGAAUGGGCCGAUGUCGGAUUAGCUAGUUGGCGGGGUAGAGGCCCACCAAGGCGACGAUCGGUAGCCGGCCUGAGAGGAUGGCCGGCCACAGUGGGCCUGAGGGGCGGCCCAGAGUGCAAUGGGGGGCAGGGGGGGGGAAUAUUGCACAAUGGGCGGAAGGGUGAAGAAGCAACGCCGGGUGCGGGAUGCCUGUUUUCGGGGAGAAAAACGCUUUAGCCUGUGACGCAGCGUUAGUGACGGUAAUGGGAAAAGAAGCACGGGCUAACUACGUG
rnacentral:rRNA from 1 species